rnacentral:rRNA from 1 species
UACGUAGGGUGCAAGCGUUGUCCGGAAUUAUUGGGCGUAAAGAGCUCGUAGGCGGUCUGUCGCGUCUGGUGUGAAAAUCCAGGGCUUAACCCUGGACCUGCAUCGGGUACGGGCAGACUAGAGUGCGGUAGGGGAGAUCGGAAUUCCUGGUGUAGCGGUGAAAUGCGCAGAUAUCAGGAGGAACACCGAUGGCGAAGGCAGGUCUCUGGGCCGAUACUGACGCUGAGGAGCGAAAGCGUGGGGAGCGAACAGG